AAAUGAUUUCAGGCGCUGAAAGCCUGAAACUGAAGGCCAACAGCUGUUCAUGAUUACACUCGCAGAUUGGUUGGUCACAUGUGUUUUUAUGGCGUCUCACGUGGCCUCAACAUUCCUCUUCUCUUUACAGUUUUAUUCCACGUGUCCCACUCCCUCCAGACGCAUUCUCACCGAGUCUCCCAGAACAAGCCCCACCAUCUUAUCCCGAAAAUACCCCCCACCCACAUGCGCUGUCGUUUUUUUCUAACACGUCACUGUCGUUUACGUGAGCUUCUCUCUCUUGUAAUAGUCAGAACUCGUAAUGAUCGACAAGUGUCAUGGUACCGAUGCUGCUCCGUUACUCUCUCUCUCUCGCUCUCUUCCUGCGAAGCACCAUUUUCAAACUCUCUGUCCCUCCCUUUUAAGUUCUCACUCUCUCUCUCUGGAAGGCUCUCCCCAACCACUCGUACUUCUGCUGUGUGCCCCUUAGGGUUUACGAAAUGGAACAUCUCAGGUGAGGAUUCAGCUGAGAUUCCGAAGUAACAUGGUGCUUUAUGUGUUGGAGGGAUGGGGAAACAAUGGAUCACUCGUUACCACAUUCUGAAGUAGCUAGUGCCCUGUGGAAAAUUGUUUUAAACUGUUUCGAGUUGAUUUGGAUCAUGCAUCAACAGGUGGUGGACCUUUAUCUAUGUUGGUAUGGUUAGUUUGGCAGCUUACACAGUGGAAUUUGUGGAAGAUGAUUCUGAUUUGACUGGGGGGUAUUUGGAGGGAGAGGAAUGAUACAAGUUUCAAGGAUUGUGAGUAGAAAAUUGAGGUGCUAAAGGAUUUCUUCUUUAGAUUGGGUGGCAGCAAACUUUAGUUAUUCUAGCUUUUAGCUUUUUGGAUAUUUUUGACCUUUUUACUCUUAUCUACCGAGGUGCUGUGUACUCCGUGUACUUGGGCAGUGCCUUUUGCUAAAUUAUGUGGUCUAGGUUGGUGUAGUAGAAUAUCAAAUUUGGAACCUUACGAUAUGUGCAUGCAACCCAUUCAAUAUCUAAUUUGGUGCUACAAUUUCAUCCAUUCAAAUUUCUGAUGUCUUAUAAAGGCUCAUGGUUUACUGCUGUUUCUUCCCCUUUCCUUCUGGUGAGGGCGGGGUUUGGAUGGUGGCUUCUUUUUAUUUUUUGGGUUGUUUAUGGGGGGUGGACGAAGGUCUAGUUGGCGGAGUAGAGAUCAAACUUGGAACAUGGUACGUGUGUGCAACCUAUUCUUAAUCUAAUUUGGGUACUACUACAAUUUCUCCCACUCAGAUGUCUGAUGUCUUAUAAAGGUUUGUGAUAUACUGCUGUUUUCUACCUUAUUCAUCUGGUGAGUGGCGGGGGGGUAGACGGUUCUUUUUGUUUUUUGGGGUUGUUUAUAGGGCUCUCACCUUUUUCUAGUCCCAUGCAUAUCAGUAGUUAGAAAUAUGUCAUUUAUUUAGUUAAAGUAAUUGUGUUCAUUGCAUUAUAAAGUUACUUUUGUUCCUUCAUAUUUGUUCCUUGUAGAAAGUCAAUACAUAACUUUUCAGCGGCUAUGGAAAUUAACAUUAGGGAUACUUCUCACUGAAUAAAAAGAACCACAACCAACUUAAUGAAAUAGAAGUUUCGAUUACUGAAAAUCUCUGCCAAUCUCUUCCUUGAUUGACUUCUUACAUGUAGUUCAUUUAGAAACUGGAGUUGAAUAAAAUAGUCGGUUUUCAAUGGAUUGCAGAUCAUGGUUUGGUUAUGGAAAUGUUAAUGUGACAGCCUCAGUUCAUAUCUUUAUGUCUUAUAGAAAACUUUAUAACAUUCGUAA